AGAGAGAGAGAGAGAGAGAGAGCCCAUCAGAAAGAGAAGGACAGAGCGAGAGAGAAAGAGAGAAAGUGAAUAACGAGUGCAGCAGGAACCGUGAGAACAUUUCCGAAUCGCUGUGUAAACGUUCACCAACGCCAACCUGCAGGAACACGAAAACACACCGGAGGCUGUUGGGUCGCGUCCCAAAUCCCCAGCGCUGGUGUUAAGCAGAACAGGAACGCUCUGAGGUUUGUUUGGGGCAUCAGACCAUCACGUGGUGAGUGUUACGUUGUGUUGAUGUUGGCAUUUCAACUACAAUCUGCUGCACAGCUGAUAAGCGCUGAAGGGAGUAAACACUUUGGAGGUCAGUAAAUCAAAUUACUGAAGUGCUGAUGACGACAAAGUUCUGCUUCGCCACUUUACCACCAACGUGGUGGUGGAGCUUCGGGGAACUAGCAGAUACUUCUGAGAAACAUUUCUGUCGUACCAUCACGCCAUCAAAUGGGGGACUUUCCUAACGCACACCGUAACAAAAACACCCAUUACACUUCUGGUUUACAAACAUGAUUUACCAUCCGUCCAUCCAUCCGUUUUCUGAGGCACUUAUCCCACACAGGGUCGCGGGGAACCCGGAGUCUAUCCUGGGGGACACCCUGGAUGGGAGGCAGGAUUCGAACCCCCAACCCUGGAGGUGCGAGGCAGUCACUGUGCCAGCACCAGGUGGAAAGAGGUUAGGAAAUUAGGCAAAAAAAAAAAAAUGGAAGCACUUACCUGGUCCACAUCUCCAUCUCUGGGAGUCUCAUCUACUUCCACUUCACUGUUGUGGUUGCCUCUCUCAUCUCUCACAGUUUCAGUGACCUUUGAACUUGUCUGCACAUGGCAGUCAUUUGUGACAACCUUUGACCCUGGGAACUCUGGUGGUUGCUUUUUGACCAUCAGUGGCCAAGUAGAUUUGCUGUCAGAGUCUGAAAUGGUUGUAGACAUGGUUGCUCUUGCCUGAGUAGCGGAUCCACGGUUCUUCUUGACUCCAUCGUCACCUUGCUCUCUCCUGUUGGCUGCUCUACUUCUCGUGAUCAGGGGAUUUUUCUCGCAGCUUUGAUCAGUGUUCACUGGUCUUGGAGCGGAAGUGGCCCUUGAGAUGACUUUAGGUUUGACAUCCUUCAGAUUAGGUCUAGAAAACCGUUUUAGCUCCAUUUUGGUGGAUUUGGUUUUAGGGGGUUCCAUGGCAGACGUGGUGUGAGAUAUAUCUGAAGGAUCAUUGGUAUUUUGUGAGGUGUUUCUUUUAGGAAAACAUGGAGGAUCUUUGAUGUUCUGGAUGGAUGAAGAUGAAGGAGCACCUUGGGAAACCGAAGGCAACAUUGUCUGAUUGAGGACUAAUUCUGCAGGUGGUUGAGCUGGAGAUUUCUCAGCGGAAAGGUCAACAGUUGCCUGCACAGUCUCCUGGUGGGUCUCGGUCACAAGAUCCACAUUGGGCCUCUGGGCUGAGGUCUGGAUCUGGAUCUCCUCAUCCUGAAGCUCCACUGACUCCUGAAGAACCUCCAGACUCACAGAGCCCACAUUAAGACUCCUGUCUGAGCACUGCAUCUGCUCCUCCUUCUUGUGAAGCUCUACAGGCUCCUGAUGAGCCUUCUGGUGAAGCUCACUCCCAAGAUCCACCUCAGUCCAAUUGGUUGAUCUCUGCAUCUUGCUUUCUUCAUUGUAAAACACCUGAGAAGCCUCCUGGUGGAGCUCACUCACAAGGCCCACACUGGGCAUCAUGGUUGAGCUGCACAUCUGGCCCUCCUCAUUGGGAAGAUCCGCUGAAUCCUGAAAAGCCUCCUGGUAGAGCUCACUCACAAGGCCCACAGUGGGACUGUGGUUUGAGCUGCACAUCUGGACUUCCUCAGACUCGCUUCGUUUACUCAUUACUACAUCAGAAGACCUCAGAGACAGAAAAGAAUCGUCUUCUUCAUCCUCAUCCUCAGAAGACAACAGCUGUGCCUCUGUAGCUGAAGAGUCAACCGAGCCUCGUCUUCCUCGCUCUCCAUCAACACCAGCAUCGCUGAAGACAUUGUCAUUCUCAUGAUUUUGAAUUAUUGUAUUAUCAUACUCUUCUUCAUUGGCAUCUAAAUAAACAGAAACCGAGUUGUCAUUCUCAUCGGGUCUGCAAUCUGGGCUCUGGAUCCCUGAGUCAUCUUCACUGGCGGCUGCUUUCCUUCCCAUCAUGCCCUCUGGCAAUUCCACGUCCAGACUACUAAGACUGUAUGUGGAGUCCGGUGAUGAUGAUGCUGACGACGCUGAUGACGCCGAUGAGGAUUUGAGGAAAUUGUUGUUGUUGUGCAACUGUAGGCACAUGCUUUGGUGGACCCCAUCCUGGGGCUUCAUGGGUAGAGCAGAUGGAGGAAGCUCACUCAUGUUUCCAUUCAAACACAACAAUACCAGUCAGAGAUUAGCCAGCUAGCACUGUCACAUGUCCAAUAGUCCCUCUGGACAUGACACUCUUAGAUAAAACCCACUUGGGGGACAAUUCGAAAGAUUGUAGCAUUCUGGCGUUUGUUGGAAGCCCAUCUGAUCCUUAACAAGGGACCUAAAAGAAGGAAAAGAAAGCUGUUUACUAACACCAAACACAUUAAAGACCAGACAGAAUCUUCUCAUGUUCCUUAUAUUUAGACAUUAUUAAUAAGUGUUUAUGCUAGCUUCAUUCGCAAUAAGAAUCAUCAGAAGUUCCUGGUCUAAAAGGUGCAAAUGAAAGGAAUUAUGGGUGGAGCUUAGGAAGCCAUUGUGGUUGCCAUUUUGAGCCUAAAGAAUCAAUAAAGGUUAUGAAAAGAAUCAAAGAAUUGAACUACUAAAGGGAGUCAAAAGAAUCACUAAUGCAAGCUAAAGGAAUCAAAUAACUUACAUGAUCCAAAAGAGUCAAGUCUUUAGUGAGCCAAAAUAAUCGAAUCACUCGUGUGAGCCUAAGGAAUCAAGGCAAAAAAAGUAAUGUAAGCUAGCAAAAACUAAUUACUAAUGUGAGGCAAAAGAAUCGGAUCACUGUGAAGUUAAGAAUCAUGUGAGCCAAAAUAAACGAAUCAUUAAAGUGAGCUGAAUUAGUUUUAGCCCAAAGAAUCAAAUUAUUAAUGUGGGCCAAAAUAAUCGAAUCACUAAUGUCAGCCAAAUGAAGACUGGGAAGUGCGUGUGUGUGUGUGUGCGCGUGCGUGCGCGCGUGUGUGUGUACUGCUGCCCUCUACUGGUCUAACUCAAACACUCAAUAGUCAUAUCUUCCUUGGCCUAAAUGUAGAUGUCCUCAACAAACAUCCAAGUCUAAUAACCUCCACAUACACAUCUGGUGAAGGCCACGCCUUUAACCACACCUGUCCAUCAAAUCGCUCCAGCUAAUGUGGGUCAGAACGAAGCUAUUAAAAGGUGUGCCACUUUUAUCUUAAUAAUCAGGGCAGAAUUUCUCUGUCUCGUGCCUGAUACAGAGGCCACAAGAAAUACUGGCCUUGUGUUGAGAAAGAGAGAGAAUAAAGAGAGAGGCCGAUGGGGGAAUCACUUAAAUUGCAAAUGAGAAUAAUUAUAAGUUUGAUAGCCAAUUUCCAAUUCCAAAGAAUCACUUACGGAGCCGAAAGAAUCAAAUCACUAAUGUUACAAAUCACAAAUGUAAGCCAAACGUAUUACAUUACUAACACGAGCCAAAAGAAUCAAAUCACUGAUUGAAUCAUUAAGUCUAAGAUCAAAUCAAAUACUAAUGUGAGUCAAACAUAACGAAUCACUCUGAGCCAAAGGAAUCAAAUCACUGAUUGAAUCAUUAAGUCUAAGAUCAGAAUCAAAUACUAAUGUGAGUCAAAAAUAUCAAAUCACUCUGAGUCAAAAGAAUCAAAUACUAAUGUGAGUCAAACAUAUCGAAUCACUGAGUUAAUCACUAAUUCUAAGAUCAAAUCAAAUACUAAUGUAAAUCAAACAUAACAAAUCUCUCUGAGCCAAAAGAAUCAAAUACUAAAGCGAGUCAAAAGUAUCGAAUAACUCUGAGACAAAAGAAUCAAAUCACUGAUUUAAUCACGAAUGUAAGGUCAGAAUCAAAUACUAAUGUGAGUCAAAUGUAUCUAAUCACUUAUGGGAGCCAAAAGAAUUCAAUUACUAACAAAAGCUAAAACAAUCCACUUAUUCGCACCAGGUUGCAUCACAACACCCAGUUGUUGAUUAUUUUCCUAACAUCAUUUUUUUUAUUCCUUACAUAAUAUAUUCUUUCCCAGCCCAUGUGUUACAUAAUAAAUCUAAGUUACUGAAUAUAAGAUUUUAGAUAAUAAAACAUUGUAUACAUAUAAUGCAGUAUAAAUAAUAUAAACAAAAGCGAAGUGAUGAACGUGUGCACGUCAGCGUCGUCAUCUUCGUAUUUCAGGUGCAGUCGCAGCUCUUUAAUCCGAUCAAUGAGUUUCCCAGAAAAGGGAUAUAGAUACAGAGUUGUGGCGCGCACAAGGUCAUGAAAACAAAAACCUUCUGCUCAGACUAUAUUCCUCUCUUCACUAGUCAUGAUUCAUAAUUUAUAAAUGAGUGUACUAAAUGUAUUAUUACUGUGAAUUUAAACGUAGUGUUUUGCGUAUUAAACAAGUCAAAUGUUAAGUUAACGGACUUCAGAUAGUACACGAGCUUUAACGUUUGUUUACUCCGCAAUCAUGUUUCACCCCCGGUGUAUUUAUUUAAAUUCCGUGUAACACAACACAUCCCGAACACUAAGCGAAAAGAUUACACAACCGUCCCAAAUUUUCCGCUAGACGUCAGACUUUCGCUCUGUUUAUCGCUGCGAUGCUUCCGUCUCUCUCUCCCUCGCCUCCUCCCCUCCGUCUUCAGGCUCCGGAGGGAUUCUUGCAUAACAACCAUCCCAGAGUAUGGAAAAUGGACUAGUAAGGCCACUCACAAAAGCAACAAAGCAAACACAGAGUUUUAAAAGCAGCACGCUUCAGGCUGACAGCUUCAGCAUUAAUCUGACUCUUUCAGCUUUUCAUAUGAAGCCAGAAGUGCACUUGGUGUCCCAGCACACUGUGAGCUUGUUUACUUCAGCUAUACAGGUGAAGAGCAGCAGAAACUCCCAUCGGCAGACGGAGUGUGAGCGCACUGAACUCGACACGCUUCUGAUUACUGAGUAAACACCUAGCUGCUGUGUCGGCAUCGAUAACGAGGCUUGAACAGAACGUAUCGUUAAGGAUUGAAUAAUAGCAUAGUAAACACAGACUAGACUGCAGACUAGGCUCGGCUCAUUCGUUCCCUUAUUCAUUCAUUUAAUACGUUUAAUUUGGGCUGAGAAGGUAUGCUGAAGGUUGUUUUUUCCCCCAUGACUGGAACUUAUUUAUAUUGGUCGAUAAACUGAGAAAUAGAAAUGUAAUUUCAUCCUAAUUCCUUUUUUUUUUUACUUGAUGUAUAAUCCUUUUAAUAACCGUAAACUCUACGAUUGACCUUCGGUGCUUGGCCCCCGUCAUUGCUGCUCAGUGAUGUGUAAAGUCUUCUAAUGUUUCAGAAGUCACAGAUUGUUAAUUACUAAAGAUCUACAGCUUAGCUCUGUGUGUGUGUGUGUGUGUGUGUGUGUGUGUGUGUGUGUGUGUGUGUGUGUGUGUGUGUGUUUGGUGUUGGAUUUGAAACAAGUGCAUAUUUUAAGAUUGAGCUCAUUACAGCCGAGCGGCUAAGCAGAGGGUGGAAUUUACAGGCACAAGAAUUCUUAGCCUGAGGGCAUUAAACCACACACACACACACACACACACACACACACACACACACUCCAGUAAAAAAAAACAAAAAACAAUCAGGCGUUCAUGAGCUUGUAGUAGCUUUCAUAGCUAGCUAGGUCCAGUAAUGACUGGACCCCAAAUAAAAUGGACCUAACCAAACACCACUGAUUCUUUUGAAUAGGAAAGGAGCCGCCACUUGUCCGGUGCAACCACGACGCUGUAAAUGAGCUAGUUCUCUUAUGCUAGCUCGCUAAAACAACCAGGUUUACAAAGUAACCACCCGAGACAAUCAGUAAUGAGCAACAACCAAUUAGCACGCUACUGAGACGAUGCUAAGUGGCUCGCUAUACUGGAUCAGAAUCAUUUCUGUCAUAGAACUGGAAGGAGCAAUGAGAGAGGGCUUGUUCAAAAUGAAUAAAUUAAAAAACAUUAUUAUAAACAGGGUUGCCAGGUCUGCUGUUUUCUCACAGAAUUUGCCAAUUAGUUGUUUGUUUGUUUAUUGGUCCUUGGAUUGGUAUUGUAUAUUUUAGAUUAAUUAUAAAAAAUGUUUUGCAAACUUAGUUAAUUUCAAAUACUUUGUAUAAGCCAAUGGUAGUCAUGAUUUGAAUAUAUAUUUACAUAUAAUUAUAUUUUAAAGAGAGAAAAAGAAACUAUUACAGUUAUCUAGUGGUUUCUGAUGGGUUUUCAUUUGCUUCUUGUGUUCUGUUCAUACUGGAUCCUGAUGGAUUAUUUCAUCUGAUCAUUUACCUAUCGUCUACUUACAUGAUGUUUUCAUCUACCCAUGAAACAAGACCUUGUUCUUUCUUAAGGUGGUAUUUAACAGUAACCAGAAAAUCUUGAAUGGGAUCCUGCAGGAAUCUGAUGGAAGCCAUUAGAGAUUUUCCGAAUGGUUUGUACUGUUUUGUUGUUAUUGUCGUCGUCGUCGUCGUUGUUUAGCAGGAGCUGUGAGAGAAACGAUAUGAUACUCUGGAUCAUUUUCUCCGAAAUCCCAAAUGGUUGCCAUGGAGACAAUGUGCUUACACAACAUGCAGGGCUCAGAAACACGAUGCUAGCACUUCUUAAUCUUUCCUAUUUCCUUUCUAUGCACUCUAACUCUAUACGUUUUUCAAAAGCUGCAUGAAGUAUAAAAAGGUUGCAUUAAAAAAAAACAUAUGUUUUGUGUUAGCAUUUUAUCAACAACAAGCUAAAUGCUAUUCAGUUUAUCUCGCUAAAUGACUGCAGCUUAUGUGUUCAUUAAUUUGUUCUGGUUAGACAAUAUAACAUCAAAAUAUUUACCAAAUAACAAUAAAAACAAAAGAUAAUGUGAGUCUUAUGAAUGUAUUUAUAGACAUAUAAUUCACUGGAACGACAGUGCGACAGUGGACUCGACACUGUUUGUUUUCAGUUUGUUUAUCUGAGCUAAAAUGUGUUUAAAAUGGUAAUUAAUUAAGAAGUGUGUAAUUACAAAACUGAAGGCAUGAAAUAUUUGUUCAUCUGGUAAGAUCGACGAUUAUCAUGGAUGUUUGAUUAAAUUUCACUGUGACGAAGCUCUUUUUAGCUUGUUACAUUUUCUAGCUAGAAGUAACUUCCUGUGGUAAUGCUAGCUAGCUAAAACUUAACUAGCAUUACCACAGGAAGUUUUUUCGUUAGACAACUUAGCUAGGUAGAGCUUCGUCACAAUGAAAGUUCCAAACACAAAUUAAAAUCUCUAAACAUUACACUUUAGCAAUAAAAAUAAGAGUUUUAGCUAGCUAAGUUUACGCUAUGAAUAAGAAUAAAGAGUUUUAGCUAGUUAAGAUUACUCUAGCAAUAAAAAUAAAAGUUUUAGCUAACUAGAACUUAGCUAGCUAGAGUUUUAGCUAGCUAGCUAAAACUGCUAUUUUUAUUGCUAGACUGUAAUGUUUAGAGAUUUUAACUUGCAGCUAUACAUGUAUAUUUUAAAUAUUUUCUGUCCUGAGACCUUUUGUGAUUUUUCCAUACCAUUUUUCAAAACUUUUUGAAAUUCUGAUGGGUUUCUACGCUGCGGAUGUGGAGACUAGUUAUCAUGUCGAAAAGUGCUGGAGAAUUAAUUGGAUGUUUUUACGUUCAGCAUCUGAGGAGAGAAUAGACUCUAGAAUGUUCUAAAGACCAAAAGUCGUAGAAAUGUGACGGAAAACGAUAAAAUAAAGUAUAUUGUUCUGUGUCGAAAUAUGAGUCAGCAAUUCUUAGCUUCCUUGUGCCAAUACACACACACACACACACACACACACACACUGGCAGGCUGAUGCUGUGUCAAUGUGCACUGACCAAUCAAUCGCUUCACAGGAAUGGCUCUGACACACACACACACAACACGCCCCACACCACGCAUCUGCGUUACACAACUUCAACACGCCGACACGAUGUGUGAGUUAAUCACACACACUCCAAUUCCCUAUAUAUAACAAUCACAAGAAACAUAGAAUAUUAACACACAUUAGCAUAUAAAGUAUCAGGUUAAUGUAAUAAUGCAUUACCUGCUUAUUACCUGCUAAUAAUGCUACAAAUAAUAAUGCUAAUGCAGUAUGACAUAUCUGACAUAUUGGAUAAGAUUCUUUCUCCACACACACACACACACACACACACACACACAUUAACAAAAAGAACAACUCACCUAAUAGAAAACAGAGAAGCCAAUUGCUCUCGGGUGGCGAGAAUGUCCCAUUAAGACGUCACACACACACACACACACACACACACACACACACACACACACACACACACACACGCUUAGCCUUCGUGCUGUAAGAGAGACAUGCCUGUCUAACACAUCUCUGGGCACACAGGCUAAUACCCAAGAACGAGAGCGUGACAAGAGGGAGAGCGAGAGAGCAAUACAGAGAGAGAGAGGGGGGGGGAGGGAGAGAGAGAGAGAGAGAGAGGGGGGGGGGAGGGAGGGAGAGAGAGAGAGAGAGAGAGAGAGAGAGAGAGAGAGAGAGAGAGCCCUCCCUUCUGGACUUCAGUUUGCAGCCAAGUCGUGCCGCAGUAACACCAACUGACGUGUGUGUGUGUGUGUGUGAGAGAGAGAGAGAGAGAGAGAGAGAGAGAGAGAGAGAGAAGGAGAGAGAGAAGGAGAGGGACCAGUGACUCUUCUGAGACAGCCAUGGAAUGUGUUUUCCCCCUUACUGAGAGCCCUUUGCACCAGCGCACACACAUGCGCACACACACGCACGCACACACACACACACACACACGCACACACAUAUAUAUUUGAUCUCUCAGAAACAAACAUACACACACACACACAUAUGUCCAAUCCCUAGAAACACACACACACACACACACACUUCUAUACCGCUCAAGGCCUUGAAGCUAAGUAGGGAGUGUUGAUAAGUUGCUAAGCCACAGUGCUAAGGACACAUAGUGAUAGAAAGUGUGUGUGUGUGUGUGUGUGUGUGUGUGUGUGUGUGUGUGUGUGUGUGUGUGUGUGUGUGAUAACGGCCCUAUUUGUGUUCCUUUGCUAAGCAGCUUUAGACUCCUUUAAGUGAAUACGAGGUGACGGGGUUGCCAGGUCUGUGUGUCCAAACCAGCACGCUGAUUAAAAAAACAUUAAAAACAAGCCGCUAUUUUUAAUAAUUCUUUCAGCAAAGUCCUAAAAUGACAAACAUCGUCAUAAAUAAAGACGUGAAUAAGAGAAUCAGAUCAAUUCUGCUACAAAACCUAGCUAACGUUGACAAGCGAAUAAGUAAAAUAAGCUAAAAGGCCAGAUUGUUAGCUGCUAUAGCUAACCUGACAGGAUUUCGUGUCAUAUUUAUAAAUGUUUAGAAA
ensembl:lncRNA